ACGCUCGACACCUACGAGAGGCAGCAGUGGGGAAUAUUGCACAAUGGGGGAAACCCUGAUGCAGCGACGCCGCGUGAGCGAAGAAGUAUUUCGGUAUGUAAAGCUCUAUCAGCAGGGAAGAAACUGACGGUACCUGACUAAGAAGCACCGGCUAAAUACGUGCUAGCAGCCGCGGUAAUCUGAGCGGGCUGGCAAGGC
rnacentral:rRNA from 1 species